rnacentral:lncRNA from 9 species
CGCUCUGUUCCCAGGCCGAGACCUGUACCUGGCACACAGUAGAGGUUUCAUGUGACUGAAUGAAUGGAUCUCACAGAGUUUUCCCUCUGAAGGGGAGUCUGCCGCCCACUCCCCACCUUUACCCCCAGUUCAUUAUUUGGUUUUAAUGGAAACUAGUUUCAUAACUUCUGAUCAGCUAGAAACCUCUGGGUUCCCAGGAAGGUUAUUGAUGGUGCAGAAUCUCUGCUAACCUUCUGGGAACCAGUCAGAAGAGACAGUCGGCAGGCUGGGUUGGAGCCUGAAGUCUUCCCUCCUUUGCCCAAGGAAGAGCCAGGAAUCUGGAGAAUCGUAAGGUUUUUCUUCUUUCUCUCUUCCUCUAGUCACAGCCAAGAUAGAAAUACCAUUAUUGAAGGGAAAUGAAGAGACCUGAUUUGACCCUAUAAUGGGGAUGCUUUUCCAAGACACUUCUGAUUUUACUUACAUUCAGUUUAUUCCCUUGCUUGAUGAAUCACGAUCUCCUGUGACUUCCUGAGAAAGGACCCACUGAGUGUGGAGCCACGGCACUGUCACAUCCUCUGCAUAAGGGAUGCUGAGUCCCAGAGCUGGGCUGCACCUGGGGCUGGGAACAAGUGGAUGUCACCUGCGGAGAAAACACCUCCCCAAGGUGAUGGGAAAGAGGCUUCUGACAAUUUGAAAUAUUGCCAAUCUGUUGCCUGCAACCCUUCAAUCCCUUUGAAUUCCCCUCAUCUCCCUGGCUGUGUAUUUUCAUGGCAAUGAUGUCCUCAGGUAAGGCUGGUGGGCCCGCUUAUGUUUUUAUUGUCAGAUGUCUUCAGCCUUACUCGUGGCAAGGAGCAGGUAGCUGAGUGGCAGGUGGCCUGGUCCCUUCUGAUACCCUAGUCCCCUAGGUCUGGCCCCUUCCCUGGUGAAUACUCUGAAAAACCUGCAAGGAAGAGGAUCUGAGGUUCAGGGGGGGAUCAGUUUCUGAAUGGCG